AUGUUCUUCCCUGCCGCCUCCUGGUUUAGUUCACAUGUCUUGAAUUACUUUGAUCCUUUUGGUAACAUCAAAUUGGGUUGCAUAGAAGUAACUGCUAACUGUGUUGACCUUUGUGAGAAAUCUACAGCAGCACUUCAAAACUCCCAGGCUGUUUUCAUCAGCAAGCUCACAGCUGACCACAUGAUGGAACUCGAUAAUACGACACUGUCCGAUGUACUUGAGAUUCCAAUGAAUACAUGUCGAAGCGAUGUGGUCAUCAGCAUGUAUGCUCUCAAUCUCCUGGUCUAUAAUAUGCAUCCUUUGCCGGUUCCCUGCAAGCGCUUUCGACCAUGA
rnacentral:rRNA from 1 species